rnacentral:rRNA from 1 species
CAGUUCGGAUUGCAGGCUGCAACUCGCCUGUAUGAAGUCGGAAUUGCUAGUAAUCGCGGAUCAGCAUGCCGCGGUGAAUACGUUCCCGGGCCUUGUACACACCGCCCGUCAAGCCAUGGGAGUCGGGAGUGCCUGAAGUUCGUGACCGUCACAGGAGCGACCUAAGGCAAGACCGAUGACUGGGGCUAAGUCGUAACAAGGUAAC